rnacentral:rRNA from 1 species
AACGAACGCUGGCGGCAUGCCUAACACAUGCAAGUCGAACGAGACCUUCGGGUCUAGUGGCGCACGGGUGCGUAACGCGUGGGAACCUGCCCUUAGGUUCGGAAUAACUCCCCGAAAGGGGUGCUAAUACCGGAUAAUGUCUUCGGACCAAAGAUUUAUCGCCUUUGGAUGGGCCCGCGUUGGGUUAGCUAGGUGGUAGGGUAAAAGCCUACCAAGGCGACGAUCCAUAGCUGGUCUGAGAGGAUGAUCAGCCACACUGGGACUGAGACACGGCCCAGACUCCUACGGGAGGCAGCAGUGGGGAAUAUUGGACAAUGGGCGAAAGCCUGAUCCAGCAAUGCCGCGUGAGUGAUGAAGGCCUUAGGGUUGUAAAGCUCUUUUACCCGGGAUGAUAAUGACAGUACCGGGAGAAUAAGCUCCGGCUAACUCCGUG